CAGCUGCAGUGCAUCCCAUGGCCUGCUCUCUAAGGGCAAGGGAUUGAACCCACACCCUUGCCUGUGUGAAACAAGAAUCCACCACCCAGUUGCAUCUUUCAAUCUUUUAUUUUAUAGUUGAUCAAGGCAUCAACAAAAGGCCAAGGCAUACAAUAUACUUCUUUUUUAAGAUUUAUUUAUUUAUUUAUUUAUUUAUUUAUUUAUAUUUUGCUUUUGUUUAGCUGUUGUUUUUGAAACAAGGACUCAUUCUAGCUGGAUUAGAACUCUGCCUUUCAAGUGCUGGGAUAAAGUCAUGCGCCAUUGUGGACUUAUUGACAAUGUGUGUGUGUGUGUGUGUGUGUGUGUGUGUGUGUAUGUGUGUGAGUUUUUUGGGGGAGUCUGUGUUGUCUGCCCACCACAUGAAUCCUGGACUUCAACCCCGGGUCAUCGCCUCAUCAGCAAAGUCCCUGUACCCACAGCACCAUCUCCCAGGCUCGAUGACACACUUUUACAUUUUCAAAUAGGGUCUCACUAAAUAGCUUGGGCUGGCCCUAAAUGCAGUCCUGUGGCCCCAGCUUCUCACGGGAGUGCAUCACCACACCUGGCUUCCUCUGCAUGUGGCAACUCUCGUUGCCCACAGGCUUUGCUAGACCAGCAGAGGGGUGUGAGGUAAAACCCAGGUUAAGGGUUGGCUCUGGUCAGGUGUGAUGACAAAGGCCUUCGUCCCUAUAACUCGGGAGGAGGAUCAGGGCUGCCAGGAGUUCCAGGUCAGCCAACCCUACACACUGAGAUUCCAUUUUAAAUAUUGGCAGGGGCAGGGAACAUGGGGAGAAUAUGGAUAGUAUUCUGAAGUUUGGCAUGGUAGUGAGUGACUGUAAUCCCAGUAUUCAGGAGGCUGAGGCAGGAGGAUAAUGAUAUGGAGGCCAGGAUGGGUUACAUAGUAAGAACCUGUAACCAAAAAAAGGAGGAGGAGAUGGAAGAAGAGGAAGAGGGGGAAGAGGAGGAGGGAGAGGAGGAGGGGGAAGAAGAGGAGGAGGAGAAAGAGAGGAAGAGGAGGAGGAAGAGAAGGAAGGGGCAGUAGCACUUGGAGGGUAGAAGCAGGUGGAUCUUUGAGUUCAAGGCCAGCCUGGUCUAGACAGAGAGUUCUAGGCCAGCUAAGGAUUCAUGGUGAGACCUUGUCUAAGACAGGGGGAGGGGAAAGAAAGGGAAGGGAGAAGAGAAGAAAAAAGAAGAGAUCUUGCUGUGAGGGGCUGGCUUUCCUUCCCUCCACGCAGCCCUAAGAUACAGCAUGGCGCUAGUAACCAGCUAGAAUUGAGUGCCAACUCUAGUUCUCUUCUGUGCUGGCAAUGACCUUUGCUUGCCGCCAGGUGGCGCCACU
rnacentral:lncRNA from 1 species